rnacentral:rRNA from 1 species
GUUACUCGGAAUCACUGGGCGUAAAGAGCAUGUAGGCGGGUGAAUAAGUUGGAAGUGAAAUCCUAUAGCUUAACUAUAGAACUGCUUCCAAAACUGUUCACCUAGAGUAUGGGAGAGGUAGAUGGAAUUUCUGGUGUAGGGGUAAAAUCCGUAGAGAUCAGAAGGAAUACCGAUUGCGAAGGCGAUCUACUGGAACAUUACUGACGUUCAGAUGCGAAAGCGUGGGGAGCAAACAGGAUUAGAUACCCUGGUAGUCCACGCCCUAAACGAUGUACACUAGUUGUUGCUAUACUAGAUAUGGCAGUAAUGCAGUUAACACUUUAAGUGUACCGCCUGGGGAGUACGGUCGCAAGAUUAAAACUCAAAGGAAUAGACGGGGACCCGCACAAGCGGUGGAGCAUGUGGUUUAAUUCGACGAUACGCGAAAAACCUUACCUGGCCUUGACAUAGUAGGAAUCUUUAAGAGAUUAGAGAGUGCUAGCUUGCUAGAACCUACAUACAGGUGCUGCACGGCUGUCGUCAGC